UAAUUAGCCAUCUCAAAUUUUGCUGAAAGCCUGAAAAAACAAAUGUUAGUGCAUGACUCUAGUGUUGACGAUUUUAGGAGGCAUGCACCAGUACAUUAUUCACAUCCACAUAUCUCAUAUGGUCGUUCCAAAAUUAUUACAGCACAUCUCUUCUAUGAGAAAAAUAAAACACAUGACAAGUUUACACGGCCACACGCCAUGGUAUACAGAAUGCACGAUUUCAGUUUUCUAAAUCAUUAAGGAAACAUCCAUGAAAUGAAAAAAAUUCCGGUCUCAUGGUUGAAAGUAAAAGCAGUACUUACUUUGAGUAUAUUUCUAAGGUUUUGCAGAAACAAUGAAUUCUUUUCCAGUGCAACUGCUGAAAGCAUAAUAAAUGUGAAAAUAUAGUAAAAUAUUGUAAAAUAGGCAUGAAAAUACAUAAGCAAAGUAUAACAUGUUACCAGUCGCAAAGGACGGCUCCACAACCACUAUCGGUUGUUCUGAUGUAAUAUCCCGCGCAAAUGCAUUAACCCAGUUAUGUCUGAAAUUCGUGUGUUUCUGCAUUCAACCAACUUUGAAACCAAUGCAUAAAACUGAGUGCAUGAGGUGAUUCAGUUGUGUCAGAAAGAAAAAAGUACCUUAACCAAGUCAACAGCUUGUGAAGAAAAUUACACACAUGAACAAAUAUAUCUGGAGAUAUAUGCCAGCAGUGGAAAUAUUGUACUUCCGGCUCUACGGCCAACCUAUAUCGAACUUCACAUCAGUCAUGCUCAUAUCAUGCAAGCAAGAAAAAACAUGAAAAUCAUCUAGAUUCAGAUAAUUAGUCAUAUCCAUUGAACCAUAGAUUCAGAUAAGCAAUGUCCGC
rnacentral:lncRNA from 1 species